GUUUUGGCUGUGCUGUGAGGAGCUGCAUGUGAGGAAUCACUGAGGAGAGAUGGCUCUUUUGUGGAUUACUGAAUGAGUGAAUAGUCACCAGUCUUGAGAAGAGCAGAUGGAGACACUGGUGCUGCCUAAUUGCUCUGAAGUCAGCACACAGACUGGAGGAGUGUUGCUCAUUUCUGUUCCAAAUGAAAUGCUUUGGACAAAGCAGAGCAGAUGCAACCCCUCUGAAUUCCCACAACAGAUGGAAGAAGCAGUUCUAUUGCAGAAUAUUCUGGGAAUGCUGAGUUAUGACAGAUUUGGCUUUAAAUCCUUACUUCAGGUAGGCAGAAUAAGCUUUAAAAAGUUAUUCUCCUAUCAUCUAGAAGCAGCUUUUUGACCCUUUGUUACAAGGUGAGAUGGGUGCACCCUAGUGUUUGAUAGAUUGC